CCCUUAGAUGUUCUGGGCUGCACGCGCGCUACACUGACGCACGCAACAGGUGCCUGCUCCGGGAGGACUGGGUAAUCAUUUGAGUGUGCGUCGUGAUGGGGAUAGAAUAUUGUAAUUAUUACUCUUCAACGAGGAAUUCCUAGUAAGCGCCAGUCAGCAGCUUGCGCUGAUUACGUCCCUGCCCUUUGUACACACCGCCCGUCGCUCCUACCGAUGGGUGAUCCGGUGAAUGAUUCGGACUUCAGCGGCUCCCCUGGGGUGCGCCGGAGAAAGUUUUGUGAACCUUAUCACUUGGAGGAAGGAGAAGUCGUAACA
rnacentral:rRNA from 1 species